CCUACCGAAGUUCUCCCAUCUUCUCCCAGUGGAGGUCCCCUCUUCCGGGACCUCCACUGGCUCCCUGUAGUAGCUCGCAUCAGAUUCAAGAAGAUGGUACUGGCAUACAAGGUAGUCGAUGGAACUGCCCCUGCCUACCUCCAAGCAUUGUGGUGGAACGAGCUCCCUGCCGAUGUCAGGAUCGCAGAGUCGCUCACCAGCCUCCGCAAAAGACUCAAAACUCA